GAUGAACGCUAGCUACAGGCUUAACACAUGCAAGUCGAGGGGUCUUUUGGAGCUUGCUUUAAAAGACGACCGGCGCACGGGUGAGUAACGCGUAUCCAACCUGCCCUUCAUAUUGGGAUAGCCUUCCGAAAGGAAGAUUAAUACCGAAUAACAUGAGAUAGUUGCCUGAUUUUCUCAUGAAAGCUCCGGCGAUGAAGGAUGGGGAUGCGUUCCAUUAGGUAGUAGGCGGGGUAACGGCCCACCUAGCCGACGAUGAAUAGGGGUUCUGAGAGGAAGGUCCCCCACACUGGAACUGAGACACGGCCCAGACUCCUACGGGAGGCAGCAGUAGGGGAUAUUGCACAAUGGAGGAAACUCUGAUGCAGCAACGCCGCGUGAGGGAAGACGGUCUUCGGAUUGUAAACCUAAGUUAUCAGGGACGAUUAUGACGGUACCUGAAGAGAAAGCUCCGGCUAACUACGUG
rnacentral:rRNA from 1 species